rnacentral:rRNA from 1 species
UACGGAGGGGGCGAGCGUUGUCCGAAGUUACUGGGCGUAAAGCGCGUGUAGGCGGGUUGCCAAGUCCGCUGUGAAAGCCCGAGGCUCAACCUCGGAGGGUCGGUGGAUACUGGCAGUCUUGAAGGUGCUAGGGGGAGAUGGAAUUACCGGUGUAGCGGUGAAAUGCGUAGAGAUCGGUAGGAACACCAGUGGCGAAGGCGGUCUCCUGGGGCAGCACUGACGCUCAUGCACGAAAGCGUGGGGAGCGAACAGG